rnacentral:lncRNA from 1 species
UGCUCAGAGGGCUUGUACAGGGACGUGAUGUUGGAGAACUACAGGAACCUGGUCUCCCUGGGUGAGGAUAACUUCUCUCCAGAAGUUGGAAUCCCUUCUGAUGGAUUUGCAAUCAAGGAAUUAUCACCAACAGAGGACAUUAAUAAAGGCGAAUUUUACCAUUUAGUAUAUUGGAGAGAAAUGAAAUUAUGGAAUCAAGGAUUUUGAUCUCCAGGAAUCCUGCGAAAAUAUGCAUGAGUUUGAGAGUCAGUGGGGAUAUGAUGCAAGAAAUUACAAAGAAGUGCCUUUGUCCCAUAACAAAAAUCUCACUUGUAGAAAAGACCAGCAAACUUAAUCAGACCUCAGUUACUCUUCCUGAAAAGCAGA